UGGGGAAUUUUGGACAAUGGGCGAAAGCCUGAUCCAGCAAUGCCGCGUGUGUGAAGAAGGCCUUCGGGUUGUAAAGCACUUUUGUCCGGAAAGAAAUGGCUCUGGUUAAUACCUGGGGUCGAUGACGGUACCGGAAGAAUAAGGACCGGCUAACUACGUGCCAGCAGCCGCGGUAAUACGUAGGGUCCAAGCGUUAAUCGGAAUUACUGGGCGUAAAGCGUGCGCAGGCGGUUGUGCAAGACCGAUGUGAAAUCCCCGAGCUUAACUUGGGAAUUGCAUUGGUGACUGCACGGCUAGAGUGUGUCAGAGGGGGGUAGAAUUCCACGUGUAGCAGUGAAAUGCGUGGAGAUGUGGAGGAAUACCGAUGGCGAAGGCAGCCCCCUGGGAUAACACUGACGCUCAUGCACGAAAGCGUGGGGGAGCAAACAGGAUUAGAUACCCUGGUAGUCCACGCCCUAAACGAUGUCAACUAGUUGUUGGGGAUUCAUUUCCUUAGUAACGUAGCUAACGCGUGAAGUUGACCGCCUGGGGAGUACGGUCGCAAGAUUAAAACUCAAAUGAAUUGACGGGGUCAUA
rnacentral:rRNA from 1 species